rnacentral:lncRNA from 1 species
UGAGCAGUUCUAAAUUCUACAAGGUUAAAUAAAAAUUUGAUUGAUCAUUUGAUAUAAUUGCUAUGCUUAGUGUGCGACUCGUUGGGUUUUUUAGGCUUAGGAUUCAAAAAAAAUGGGCGGACCACAGUAUAAGCUAAUAACUAUAGCACUAAUAACCAACUCAUCGCUUCGGAUUAUCUGGAUCCAAAGAAUCAGUCAAGAUAUGAUAUAUUGGUCAUAUCAUUAUAGCAACUGAAUUUUUUUUUGCAUUAAGUAAAAGACAAAACCAAUCUAAUUAUGAAUAGAUCAAAAUUGUGAAGCAAAAUAAAAAGUAUGUGGAUAAAUAGAAGGAUGAGAGAAAGAGAGAAACAGAAAUAGCAAUGAAAUGAUAUAGGAUUCCAAUAUGUAAGGUCUAUGAAGCAUCUCAUAAAGAGCAAUGUAAUAGAGCAUCAAUAGAGAUUCAUCAAUAAUUAGAUGAAUAUCUGUUCAUUGAAGAAAAAAUCAAGAGCCUUAACUUAAGUCAAUAAAGACUGAGAAGGUUGAUUCAAGAAGAAAUUUUAUUUUUAUUUUAUUAAAUAAAAAUUAAAUUAAAUUAAUAAAUUAAAUUAAUAAAUUAAGGCUCCAUUGGAGAAUUCAGACCUAAGCAUUAAUCGAGAGCGAUGGGGACGACGGAACCCGUGAAUGCAAAUGAUUCUUUUGAAAACGAAUCUUAAUGAUUUAUUGGGGAGGAUGGCGGAACAAACCAGAGACCACUGCAUUUCUUUUUAUUCUGAUUCUGAGAGGUCAUGGGUUAACCCGACAACUGAACUAGAAAAAGAGUAAAUAUUCGCCCGUGAAAAUUUGAGUUUAAUUUUAUUUGAUUGUUCAAUUUUUGUCGAUCUGAAUCUGAUAUGAAUAUGAUAAAAAACAAAAUAAAGAUUUGUUAUAACAUUAUAACAAAACCAAGAUAAGACAUUAUCUAGAAAUAGAAUCUGUGUUUAAUUCCUUAUACUUAUAUAUAUAUCCAAUAGAUCCAAACAAGAUAUACAAAUUUCUAAUAGAUCAGAUAAAAUCGCAAAGCAAAGAAUCCCAAGAUUCAAUUAUUCAUUAACUACCUGUAUAUCUUAAGAUUAAGAAUUAAAUAUUUUUUUAUUCAUUUUUUUUUCGCGAGGAGCUGGAUGAGAAAAACUAUCAUGUCCAGUUCUGUAGUAGAGAUGGAAUUCAUAAACAACAACCAUCAACUAUAACCCCAAAAGAACCCGAUUUCGUAAACAACAUAGAGGAAGAAUGAAGGGGAUAUCUUAUCGAGGUAAUCGGAUUUGUUUCGGUAGAUAUGCUCUUCAAGCACUUGAACCCACUUGGAUUACAUCUAGACA